rnacentral:ncRNA from 1 species
GGGAUACACUUAGAGUCCCCGGUACGGGAGUGUUAAUAGUGGCGCAUUUGGCCGUGCUCCGCGGUUAGUGAAUC